rnacentral:rRNA from 1 species
AGGACGAACGCUGGCGGCGUGCUUAAAACAUGCAAGUCGAACGAGACCUUUGGUCUAGUGGCGAACGGCGGAGUAAUACAUAAGCAACCUGCCUCAAAGACCGGGAUAGCCCCUCGAAAGAGGGAUUAAUACCGGAUGUGGCCUUUUGUGGGCAUCCACGAAAGAUUAAAACGAGUAAUCGGCUUUGAGAGGGGCUUGUGGCCUAUCAGCUUGUUGGUGGGGUAAUGGCCUACCAAGGCUUCGACGGGUAGCGGGUCUGAGAGGAUGAUCCGCCCGACUGGGACUGAGACACGGCCCAGACUCCUACGGGAGCAGCAGUUGGGAAUCUUGCACAAUGGGACGAAAGCCUGAUGCAGCGACGCCGCGUGGAGGACGAAGUC